GUCUUCUUCGUACUUCCUAUCAUCGACUGCACAGUGCCUUCACUUUCAACCAUUCACAGUUUUGGACGCAUAAUGUCUUCUUCUCUUUCUACUGUUGACAUUGGCCGCUGCCAUUGGUGCAUCCUGUGCUUUUAGACACAUUUCUCGACGACGUUGGCCGCUUCUCAAUGUUCUAUUCCUGCCAUUGCCCCCUCUUCACCGUCAACGUGGACUGCAUCGCAGGCUUUGGACCCUAUUCGCAUGACGCAUCACAUUGGCCCUCCGUUUAGGCACUGUUCUCCUUUCUGCCAUUACCAUUGUCAUUGUUCUCCUUCCUUCACAAAUGUUGUCGCGGAGAUACCCUUGGAGCAAGGGCUGGAGGUUACUGAUGUUGCGGAGUAGUCUUCUUAGGAAUUUCCUGAUUGAACACUUGUAGUCUUUAAUCCUUUCAACUGUUCAAGUUUAAAUUUUCUGUUUCUUUUAUUUCUAGA
rnacentral:sRNA from 1 species